rnacentral:rRNA from 1 species
UUGAACGCUGGCGGCAGGCCUAACACAUGCAAGUCGAGCGGAUGAAGGGAGCUUGCUCCUGGAUUCAGCGGCGGACGGGUGAGUAAUGCCUAGGAAUCUGCCUGGUAGUGGGGGAUAACGUCCGGAAACGGGCGCUAAUACCGCAUACGUCCUGAGGGAGAAAGUGGGGGAUCUUCGGACCUCACGCUAUCAGAUGAGCCUAGGUCGGAUUAGCUAGUUGGUGGGUAAAGGCCUACCAAGGCGACGAUCCGUAACUG